rnacentral:misc_RNA from 1 species
GAUGAAGAACGUAGCGAAAUGCGAUAAGUAAUGUGAAUUGUAGAAUUCAGUGAAUCAUCGAAUCUUUGAACGCUCAUUGCGUCCGCCAGUAUUCUGGCGGGCAUGCCUGUUCGAGCGUCAUUUCAACCAUCAAGCCCUGCUUGCGUUGGGGUCCUGCGGCUGCCCGCAGGCCCUGAAAACCAGUGGCGGGCUCGCUAGUCACACCGAGCGCAGUAAUACAUCUCGCUUUGGGCGUGCGGCGGGUUCUUGCCGUUAAACACCCCCUUUUUACCAAGGUUGACCUCGGAUCAGGUAGGAAUACCCGCUGAACUUAAGCAUAUCAAUAAGCGGAGGA